GUCGAGAAUCUUUCACAAUGGGGGCAACCCUGAUGGAGCGACGCCGCGUGGAGGAUAAGGUCUUCGGAUUGUAAACUCCUGUCAUGCGUGAACAAGGUUGCUUGGUUAAUACCUGGGCAAAUUGAUGGUAACGCAAGAGGAAGAGACGGCUAACUCUGUGCCAGCAGCCGCGGUAAUACAGAGGUCUCAAGCGUUGUUCGGAAUCACUGGGCGUAAAGGGUGCGUAGGUGGCGUGGUAAGUCAGAUGUGAAAGCACGGGGCUCAACCUCGGAACUGCAUCCGAUACUGCCAUGCUAGAGUACUGGAGAGGUGACUAGAAUUCUCGGUGUAGCAGUGAAAUGCGUAGAUAUCGAGAGGAAUACCAAAGGCGUAGGCAGGUCACUGGACAGUUACUGACACUGAGGCACGAAGGCCAGGGGAGCGAACGGGAUUAGAAACCCUGGUAGUCC
rnacentral:rRNA from 1 species